CCUACGGGAGGCAGCAGUGAGGAAUAUUGGUCAAUGGUCGGGAGACUGAACCAGCCAAGCCGCGUGAGGGAGGAAGGUACAGAGUAUCGUAAACCUCUUUUGUCAGGGAACAAAGACUGGGACGCGUCCCCGGUUGAGUGUACCUGAAGAAAAAGCAUCGGCUAACUCCGUGCCAGCAGCCGCGGUAAUACGGAGGAUGCGAGCGUUAUCCGGUUUUAUUGGGUUUAAAGGGUGCGCAGGCGGGUUGUUAAGUCAGCGGUAAAAGCCCGGGGCUCAACCCGGGCCCGCCGUUGAAACUGGCAGUCUCGAGUUGGAGAGAAGUAUGCGGAAUGCGCGGUGUAGCGGUGAAAUGCAUAGAUAUCGCGCAGAACUCCGAUUGCGAAGGCAGCAUGCCGGCUCCACACUGACGCUGAGGCACGAAAGCGUGGGUAUCGAACAGGAUUAGAUACCCUGGUAGUC
rnacentral:rRNA from 1 species